UACAGAGGAUGCAAGCGUUAUCCGGAAUUAUUGGGCGUAAAGCGUCUGUAGGUGGCUUUUUAAGUCCGCCGUCAAAUCCCAGGGCUCAACUCUGGACAGGCGGUGGAAACUACCAAGCUGGAGUACGGUAGGGGCAGAGGGAAUUUCCGGUGGAGCGGUGAAAUGCAUAGAUAUGUCACAGAACACCAAUUGCGAAGGCAGCUUACUAUGGUAUGAUUGACGCUGAGGCACGAAAGCGUGGGGAUCAAACAGG
rnacentral:rRNA from 1 species